CGGAGGUGUUACAGAUAAUCCUGAUAGUUACAGAUUACGUAAGGACACUUGCACCUCCUAUAUUAAUUUGCUCUCUGAUGACUGGGUUACUUUGAGAUCAAGUGCCCAGACAGAUACGGAGUAGACAAUC